rnacentral:lncRNA from 13 species
GGGGCUUCUUGUUAAAAAUUUAUUAAGUAUUUGAAUAUAGAGACAGCAGUGUUAAUUGUUAAAGUAGUUAUGCAUGAGCAGGGCAGGAGAGGGCUCUCUGUGCCCCUCAACCCUACUACGAAUGUCAGGUGUUGGUCCCGCAACGCCUUGCUUCUCUCAAAUCAGGAAGAGGCAAUUUCCUGAUGGUCCACACCUAUUAACAUCAAAAUGUUAAUUAAGUGCAGACCCCAGGGAGAAGCAACUUCCUGGGCAUGGGUGUUACCAGGCAAAAAUGGCUUUUGGGAGGCCAAGGCGGGCGGAUCAGGAGUUGAGGUCAGGAGUUCCAGACCAGCCUGGCCAACAUGGUGAAACUCCGACUCUACUAAAAAUACAAAAAAUUAGCCUGGCGUGGUGGCUGCCGCCUGUAAUCCCAGCUACUGGGGAGGCUGAGACAGGAGAAUUGCUUGAACCUGGGAGACGGAGGUUGCAGUGAGCCAAGGUGCAGUGAGUCACUGCACACCAGCCUGCAUCGUCCAUAUACUCCACCAGAGAAAGGAAAAAGCCUCAGAUGGGCACGUAUACAACCCCCAAUUGCACAUGCUCAAUUCUAACGGUUACAGAAAGCACUGCGCAUGCGGAAAGCCCAUCCUAAGGGAGGAAUUAUGGGAAAGGGGCGAGUUUAUAAAAGGCCUAGGUUCGGCCAGGCUCCGUGGCGUACACCUGUUAUCCCAGCAUUUUGGGAGGUCGCUGUGGGCGUAUCAGGAGGCCAGGAAAUCGGAACCAUCCUGGCCAGCAUGUCCAUCUCUUUCUUCUGAAGAGGCACAGACUGAAGUUCUGCGGACCCGACCCGAAAGGAUAGUCUGGUACUCGGGGCAACUCGGAUCUCUUCCACCACCAACAAAAAAUUACUCUGGUUGCUAUGUAUGUGCAGGAUAUGCUAUAAGAGAUGAGUGUGAAAGUAGUGAAAUCCUUCAGGAGGCUGUUGAAGUAAUCUCAGUGAGAAGUCAUGGUGGCUUGGACCAGGGUGAGCUCAGCAGAGAUGGGGAGAAGGAGACCUGAUACAUUCCAGAUAUGUUUUGAAAGGCCUGGCUGCUGAUGGAGCUGAUUUAGGAAUAGUGUAUGGGAUUUUCUUUUUCUUUUCCUGCAAAUAAAGUAAUUUUGUAACAUCCUUUUCCUUUAACU